ensembl:ncRNA F38A3.3 ncRNA
GUCUCGUGGGGUUAUCAGUGUCUCUCUUUCUACCCGAAUUUUGUGUAAGUUACAGUUUUGUUCGUGGAGAAUUGAUGGCAGAAGGUGCGCGAUGAUGGAGUGUUGAACUUGAGGAGUGGAAAAUGAAAAUAUUG